rnacentral:rRNA from 1 species
GGAAUUUUCCGCAAUGGGCGAAAGCCUGACGGAGCAACGCCGCGUGAGGGAUGAAGGCCUCUGGGCUGUAAACCUCUUUUAUCAAGGAAGAAGAUCUGACGGUACUUGAUGAAUAAGCCACGGCUAAUUCCGUGCCAGCAGCCGCGGUAAUACGGGAGUGGCAAGCGUUAUCCGGAAUUAUUGGGCGUAAAGCGUCCGCAGGCGGUCUGUCAAGUCUGCUGUUAAAGCGUGGAGCUUAACUCCAUUUCAGCAAUGGAAACUGGAAGACUAGAGUGUGGUAGGGGCAGAGGGAAUUCCCGGUGUAGCGGUGAAAUGCGUAGAUAUCGGGAAGAACACCAGUGGCGAAGGCGCUCUGCUGGGCCAUAACUGACGCUCAUGGACGAAAGCCAGGGGAGCGAAAGGGAUUAGAUACCCCAGUAGUC